AUUGAACGCUGGCGGCAUGCCUUACACAUGCAAGUCGAACGGCAGCACGGGGGCAACCCUGGUGGCGAGUGGCGAACGGGUGAGUAACAUAUCGGAACGUGCCCUGGAGUGGGGGAUAACUAGUCGAAAGAUUAGCUAAUACCGCAUACGAUCUACGGAUGAAAGUGGGGGAUCGCAAGACCUCAUGCUCGUGGAGCGGCCGAUAUCUGAUUAGCUAGUUGGUGGGGUAAAGGCCUACCAAGGCAUCGAUCAGUAGCUGGUCUGAGAGGACGACCAGCCACACUGGGACUGAGACACGGCCCAGACUCCUACGGGAGGCAGCAGUGGGGAAUUUUGGACAAUGGGCGCAAGCCUGAUCCAGCAAUGCCGCGUGAGUGAAGAAGGCCUUCGGGUUGUAAAGCUCUUUUGUCAGGGAAGAAACGGUGAGGGCUAAUAUCCUUUGCUAAUGACGGUACCUGAAGAAUAAGCACCGGCUAACUACGUGCCAGCAGCCGCGGUAGUACGCAGGGUGCAAGCGUUAAUCGGAAUUACUGGGCGUAAAGCGUGCGCAGGCGGUUGUGCAAGACCGAUGUGAAAUCCCCGGGCUUAACCUGGGAAUGGCAUUGGUGACUGCACGGCUAGAGUGUGUCAGAGGGGGGUAGAAUUCCACGUGUAGCAGUGAAAUGCGUAGAGAUGUGGAGGAAUACCGAUGGCGAAGGCAGCCCCCUGGGAUAACACUGACGCUCAUGCACGAAAGCGUGGGGAGCAAACAGGAUUAGAUACCCUGGUAGUCCACGCCCUAAACGAUGUCAACUAGUUGUCGGGUCUUAAUUGACUUGGUAACGCAGCUAACGCGUGAAGUUGACCGCCUGGGGAGUACGGUCGCAAGAUUAAAACUCAAAGGAAUUGACGGGGACCCGCACAAGCGGUGGAUGAUGUGGAUUAAUUCGAUGCAACGCGAAAAACCUUACCUACCCUUGACAUGGCAGGAAUCCCGGAGAGAUUCGGGAGUGCUCGAAAGAGAACCUGCACACAGGUGCUGCAUGGCUGUCGUCAGCUCGUGUCGUGAGAUGUUGGGUUAAGUCCCGCAACGAGCGCAACCCUUGUCAUUAGUUGCUACGAAAGGGCACUCUAAUGAGACUGCCGGUGACAAACCGGAGGAAGGUGGGGAUGACGUCAAGUCCUCAUGGCCCUUAUGGGUAGGGCUUCACACGUCAUACAAUGGUACAUACAGAGGGCCGCCAACCCGCGAGGGGGAGCUAAUCCCAGAAAGUGUAUCGUAGUCCGGAUUGCAGUCUGCAACUCGACUGCAUGAAGUUGGAAUCGCUAGUAAUCGCGGAUCAGCAUGUCGCGGUGAAUACGUUCCCGGGUCU
rnacentral:rRNA from 1 species